rnacentral:rRNA from 1 species
UACGUAGGGUGCGAGCGUUGUCCGGAAUUAUUGGGCGUAAAGAGCUUGUAGGCGGUCUGUCGCGUCUGCUGUGAAAAUCCGGGGCUCAACCCCGGACUUGCAGUGGGUACGGGCAGACUAGAGUGUGGUAGGGGAGACUGGAAUUCCUGGUGUAGCGGUGAAAUGCGUAGAUAUCGAGAGGAACACCUGCGGCGAAGGCGGGUUGCUGGGCCGACACUGACGCUGAUGCGCGAAAGCGUGGGGAGCAAACAGG